rnacentral:rRNA from 1 species
AGUGAACGCUGGCGGCAGGCCUAACACAUGCAAGUCGAACGGCAGCACAGGGGAGCUUGCUCCCUGGGUGGCGAGUGGCGGACGGGUGAGGAAUACAUCGGAAUCUACCCUUUCGUGGGGGAUAACGUAGGGAAACUUACGCUAAUACCGCAUACGAUCUGAGGAUGAAAGCAGGGGACCGCAAGGCCUUGCGCGAUUGGAUGAGCCGAUGUCCGAUUAGCUAGUUGGCGGGGUAAAGGCCCACCAAGGCGACGAUCGGUAGCUGGUCUGAGAGGAUGAUCAGCCACACUGGAACUGAGACACGGUCCAGACUCCUACGGGAGGCAGCAGUGGGGAAUAUUGGACAAUGGGCGCAAGCCUGAUCCAGCCAUGCCGCGUGUGUGAAGAAGGCCUUCGGGUUGUAAAGCACUUUUGUUGGGAAAGAAAACCUGUCGGUUAAUACCCGGCUGGGAUGACGGUACCCAAAGAAUAAGCACCGGCUAACUUCGUGCCAGCCGCCGCCGUAAGAC